rnacentral:rRNA from 1 species
AUUGAACGCUGGCGGCAUGCCUUACACAUGCAAGUCGAACGGUAACGCGGGGCAACCUGGCGACGAGUGGCGAACGGGUGAGUAAUAUAUCGGAACGUGCCCAGUAGUGGGGGAUAGCCCGGCGAAAGCCGGAUUAAUACCGCAUACGACCUGAGGGUGAAAGCGGGGGAUCGCAAGACCUCGCGCUAUUGGAGCGGCCGAUAUCAGAUUAGGUAGUUGGUGGGGUAAAGGCCUACCAAGCCGACGAUCUGUAGCUGGUCUGAGAGGACGACCGGCCACACUGGGACUGAGACACGGCCCAGACUCCUACGGGAGGCAGCAGUGGGGAAUUUUGGACAAUGGGCGCAAGCCUGAUCCAGCCAUGCCGCGUGUGGGAAGAAGGCCUUCGGGUUGUAAACCACUUUUGUCAGGGAAGAAACGGUCGGGUCUAAUAAAUCUGGCUAAUGACGGUACCUGAAGAAUAAGCACCGGCUAACUACGUGCCAGCCGCCGCCGUAAAAC